ACGCUAGCGAUAGGCUUAACACAUGCAAGUCGAGGGGCAGCAUGGUCUUAGCUUGCUAAGACUGAUGGCGACCGGCGCACGGGUGCGUAACGCGUAUGCAACUUGCCUCACAGAGGGGGAUAACCCGUCGAAAGACGGACUAAUACCGCGUACACUCUAUGUUGGGCAUCCAAUUAGAGGAAAUGAACUUCGCUGUGAGAUAGGCAUGCGUCCCAUUAGCUAGUUGGUGAGGUAACGGCUCACCAAGGCGACGAUGGGUAGGGGAACUGAGAGGUUGAACCCCCACACUGGUACUGAGACACGGACCAGACUCCUACGGGAGGCAGCAGUGAGGAAUAUUGGUCAAUGGGCGAG
rnacentral:rRNA from 1 species